AGUAGGAGGCCCCAAAUGAUGCGAAGCAUCAUUUUUACAUGGGGCCGACGAACUGCCGCCGAAGCUUUAGCUGAGGAGGCGACACCAUAA
rnacentral:sRNA from 12 species